GGUCAAGCUACAAAGGGCGCAUGGUGAAUGCCUUGGCAUCAGGAGCCGAUGAAGGACGUGAUAAGCUGCGAUAAGCUUCGGGUAGGCGCACAUAGCCUGAGAUCCGAAGAUCUCCGAAUGAGGAAACUCACAUGGGAAACCCCAUGUAUCAUUAAGUGAAUACAUAGCUUAAUGAAGGUAACCCAGGGAACUGAAACAUCUAAGUACCUGGAGGAAGAGAAAGAAAAAUCGAUUUUCUUAGUAGCGGCGAGCGAAAGGGAAAGAGCCCAAACCGGAAACUUGUUUCCGGGGUUGUGGACAUAACAUAAAAGUGGAGGCUAUUGUAACUGAAGAGAACUGGAAAGUUCCACCGUAGAAGGUAAUAGUCCUGUAAGUGAAACGAGAAGACCACGAGUUAUGAUCCAGAGUACCACGAGACACGUGAAACCUUGUGGGAAGCAGGGAGGACCACCUCCCAAGGCUAAAUACUACCUGAUGACCGAUAGUGAAGCAGUACCGUGAGGGAAAGGUGAAAAGAACCCCGGGAGGGGAGUGAAAUAGAACCUGAAACCGUGUGCCUACAACCGCUCAGAGCCCCUUAUGAGGGUGAUGAGGUGCUUUUUGUAGAACGAGCCAACGAGUUACGGUAUGUAGCAAGGUUAAGUACUUAAGGUACGGAGCCGAAGGGAAACCGAGUCUGAAUAGGGCGACUAGUUGCAUGCCGUAGACCCGAAACCGGGUGACCUAUCCAUGGCCAGGUUGAAGCGAGGGUAAAACCUCGUGGAGGACCGAACCACGUUGCUGUUGAAAAAGCAUGGGAUGAGCUGUGGAUAGCGGAGAAAUUCCAAUCGAACCCGGAGAUAGCUGGUUCUCUCCGAAAUAGCUUUAGGGCUAGCGUCGAGUAUGAGUAGUGGAGGUAGAGCACUGAAUGGGCUAGGGGGCAUAGCGCUUACCGAACCUUAUCAAACUCCGAAUGCCACAUACUUUGAGCUCGGCAGUCAGACUACGAAUGAUAAGAUCCGUGGUCAAAAGGGAAACAGCCCAGAUCGUCAGCUAAGGUCCCAAAGUGUAAGUUAAGUGGGAAAGGAUGUGAGAUUUCUAAGACAACUAGGAUGUUGGCUUAGAAGCAGCCAUUCAUUAAAAGAGUGCGUAAUAGCUCACUAGUCGAGAGAUCUUGCGCCGAAAAUGUAACGGGGCUAAACUUACCACCGAAGCUACGGGCUUGAACUUAGUUCAAGCGGUAGGAGAGCGUCGUAACCGGGCUGAAGUCGUACCGUAAGGAGCGGUGGACUGGUUACGAGUGAGAAUGUUGGCAUCAGUAGCGAGAUGUGGGUGAGAAUCCCACAGGCCGAAAACCUAAGGUUUCCUCAGGAAGGUUCGUCCGCUGAGGGUUAGUCGGGACCUAAGCCGAGGCCGAAAGGCGUAGGUGAUGGACAACUGGUUGAUAUUCCAGUACCACUACCAUCGUUAUUAUCGAUGGCGUGACGCAGGAGGAUAGUGUGUGCUAGCUAUUGGAUGCUAGUCUAAGCGUUUAGGCAGUGAGAGUAGGCAAAUCCGCUCUCAUAAUGCUGAGGCGUGAUG
rnacentral:rRNA from 1 species